UCCAAUGAAAACAGUAUUAUUAGAACAAUGUUUAAUAUUUUGUUACAAGCUAGGGUAACAAUUCACUGUAAUCACAUGGUUCUAGAUAUGUGUCCAUGUGUUUUCAUAAGUUCUUGAUUUCAUCAUAUCUGUUUAAGUCCUCUGUUAGACACCUUUCUUGUUAUAUUUUGAUAAAUGUCUGAUUAGUUCAAUGUUUGUGAAUUAUACAACUAAUGAGCCAGUGGGUUUAUAAUGUCAGUCACAAUAUAAUCUGUAUGCUGCUGAUUUAUUGAUGAGAUUUUGUUAUGGUGCUACAUGUAUGUGUAAGAUUGUACAAUGAGAACCCAUAUUACAUUUUAAGUCCAAACAUUUUUAAGAUCAGUCAUCUUUUUAUUAUACAAAAUAUUACUGAUGUUUACAGUGCUCCCAGACUAUUAUUGGACAUGUUAAGGCACCCUUUCACACAUGGUUGGCUGUAAGCUACUCGAGCCAGCAACGCGUAAGUUUUCAGUGUAGAUAAUCACUUUAUUGUUUUCUUUUUUAGUGUUCGAAAAGACAAGUAAUGCCUGACUGUAAUUAACUGUAUAUCAUUGUAUGAUUUGUUACAAAUUAACUAUUAGACGAUUGUGUCUUGCCCUUAUCUCAUUAUAUACAGUAUAAUGUGAAUGUUUCUACUCAUGGUUUAUCAUGUACAGUAUAAUGAGACAGAUUCUAGUCAUUGUAAUAGAGUUAUCUCCCUUGGAUUUCUUUGCUGUGAUACCGUAAUUAUCCACAUUUUAUCCCUACCAUUAUUGGUAUUGCAGUAAUACCGUAAUUAUCCACAUUUUAUCCCUACCAUUCUUGGUAUUACCUGUAAACAUAAUUAGUAGAAGGAAUCAAUAAGUGUACGAACAUCUUUCUGGAAAUAUUCUUUAAUAAGAAUGAUAUUGUAGUUCACAUUGCAUGUGUACUUGUUAUUUGUUUGUUGUAGUUUCUUACGGUUUGAAGAAUAUUAAAAGUCUAAAGCAUCUGACGUGUUCUUCGCCGUUAUCUAUCUGUCAGUCCCAAGGACAGAACAGUAAGAAAGCGUUGUUGACGAGAACAGAACUGAAUCCCUGAUACAGCCGACAGAACAGCACAAUCCUACAGGUGAACAACAACAGAUCGAACCCUCAAACUUCAUUGAUCUUAUACAGCCGACAGAACAGCACAAUCCUACAGGUGAACAACAACAGAUCGAACCCUCAAAUGUCAUGCUGCAAGGUCCCACAGAUCAAGAUUCACCUGUCACUGUGAAGAUGCCAAGAAUGCCGGCUUGUGGAAUUUGCAGAGACAGAUAUUGCGAUUCAUUUUUCAAUCCUUGUGGCCAUUUGGUUUGCCUUGUGUGUGCUGUGGAACUGGAGGAGAGGCAUCAACAUUGCCACAUCUGCCGUCAAGACAUUGACAAAAUCAAUCCUUUAUAUCUGUAAUUUUUUUUCAAAAUGCUAUAGUCUUACCAGACCCAGGAACACCAAACACAAUUUAGUGAUCCUGUUUUCAGUUUUAAAUACUUUAAAUACUGCAUGCAUUUUUAAACGCUGCUUAGACUUAAUAAGCAAUAUUCAUUGUAUUAAAUCAAAGUUUUAAAAAAUAGUAAGAAUAUGGGUCGUAUUCACAUUUUGUUUGCCAGAACUUCUGGCAUCUGUUUCUGGAAAACUAGCCGAUUUUAUUGCGGCAACCUUGCAGCGGUGUGGUGCUCUGGUUUUUAAUUUGUAUUACAUUUGCUUUACUGUAUACAGUUUUUGCCUU